AUUGAACGCUGGCGGCAGGCCUAACACAUGCAAGUCGAGCGGAGCGGAGGACGGGUGAGUAAUGCCUAGGAAUCUGCAUGGUAGAGGGGGAUAACGUCCGGAAACGGGCUCUAAUAACGCUUACUAUCAGAUGAGCCUCGUUCGGAUUAGCUAGUUGGUGGGGUAAAGGCAUACCAAGGCGACGAGCCGUAACUGGUCUGAAAGGAUGAUCAGUCACACUGGAACUGAGACACGGUCCAUACUCCUACGGGAGGCAGCAGUGGGGAAUAUUGGACAAUGGGCGAACGCCUGAUCCAGCCAUGCCGCGUGUGUGAAGAAGGUCUUCCGAUUGUAAAGCACUUUAAGUUGGGAGGCGUUACCAACAGAAUAAGCACCGGCUAACUUCGUGCCAGCAGCCGCGGUAAUUC
rnacentral:rRNA from 1 species